ensembl:snoRNA
UGGAUUGAUGAUGACCACUGGUGGCGUAUAAGUCACGGACGAUGACUACAGCUCUGGAAGUCUGAGGUACAU